AGCUGGAAUCGCUAGUAAUCGCGGAUCAGAAUGCCGCGGUGAAUACGUUCCCGGGUCUUGUACACACCGCCCGUCACACCAUGGGAGCCGGAAACGCCCGAAGCCAGCGGCCCAACCGCGAGGAGGGAGCUGUCGAAGGCGGGUCCGGUGACCGGGGUGAAGUCGUAACAAGGUAUC
rnacentral:rRNA from 1 species